rnacentral:lncRNA from 1 species
GGAGGCCAAGUUGCCUGGGUUGAGGUAAGAUGAAGGAUAACCUCACAUUUUACCAGUGAAUAGAGAAAAGACACUCAAUGAUGUCCUCUAGGAGAGAAUUCAAGGGGUGUGUGGAAGUGGAAAGGGUCUGAAGAAUUUGUUCUGUAUUUGAGCUCCAAAGCCACCAUUCUAGGCUGCAUGGCUGAAUUCCAUUACCUGGGGUCACUUGGGUUCCCUGCCCCUGGCCAGUGGCAUGGCCUGGAACGAGAAGGCUGGAAUGGGAGUUUAGGAGGCUCUGAUGUGCCUCAUGGCUGCAUCCUAAAGAGCAUGCACUCACUCCUCUGCCAGCCAAGCAACCCCAGGUGCAGAGACAGGGAAACCUCUCUAGACUAACCUAAGAAUCAAACAUUAACCCAAAGUGAGGUACUUAAACAGCUCCAGCAAGCAAGAAAAUACAAUAAAUACCAUUCCAUUUACCAGCUUUCCAAGAUUGAAAAGAGAGAGUUAGCAUUAAAAUGCAUUUAAAAAAGAAAAAUCAAGUCAGUCUACAGAAGCUGGGGGAAGGAGGGAACACAUGGAGUCACAAUUCCUUCCAAGCCCACAGAAAGCAAUAAGAGUUCUCAUUUAACCCGGGGAAAUGACUGGCGAAUCACUUGUACUUUGAAACGAUUCUAAAUUGCAAACUAAUUCCCCAGUGGGAUAUGUUGAUGGCCUACUGUACCCAGCAUAAAUAAUGAGUUUGCAACCAGGAUCCCAAAUAAAGUGGUGCACGUUUGUGGAAUUCAUGAACAAGUUUCCCCCUCCGUCAUGUGACAUUGCAAUGUUAAUGCUUCCAGUUAGGAGUUCCACUGUGUCAGCAGGUGAAUUCCCUGGCAGUAAGUCAAACUUUAAUGGGACAUGCUGGGGGAGCCAUUAUGCUGCUGCAGUGUAAACUCUGGAGUCAGUGUUAGGCUUCGAGAGGUGUGGACAUGGCCUGGUACCUAUUCUGCUUGCAGGUGUUCUUUUCUGUUUGACUUUUAAUGCUAUAUUUUAAAUUGACCGUGACAAAGUUAAGUUUCUGUCUAAUAAAGGAUUUAGAUACAAUGGAUCUACUCAAACCUUUCUCUCUCUCUCUCUCUCUCUCUCUCUCUCUCUCUCUCUCUCAAAAACCGUUUUUAUACAAGGAAGAAAUCUGAGGGUGGAGAGGGUUAAGUAGCUGGUUAGAUCAGACACACUAAUACAGAGCAGAAUUGGGACGUAUUAGUGGGAGUUCCAACUGGGAGAACUGGAACAAGGCGUUCCCACCUAGGACUCACCCACUCCUUUGUUCUCUCUUAAGGAUGCUGUCUUUCACUGGGAAAAACAAAAACAAAAAUAAAGCAGGAAAGUGCAAUAACUUUUACAAAUAUAUUUAAGAAUGUUUGACGAAAAGAGGAAUCUGAGUUAUAAUUUAAAUAAUAGGAAGCAAAACAUGUAACCUAGUGUAGCUAAACAUCCAGAUUGCAAUGAGAAAUAGAUACAUAAUAAGAUAAGUCUACAAGAUAUUUUUAAAAAUACAUAUAGGGCUUCAUUCCUUAAACUUAAAACUAGGUUGUCACUGAAGAGCAAAGAUCAUGCCUGUGAACACCACACUGAGCUGGGGAUGAGACCUGGGGUACUUACGUAUUAGAGCAAGGCUUGUCUCCUUAGCCCCUUCUCCUGGGCUCGCUCAGUGACAUGGGGAGGCUCUUGCCCUCAGAGCAGUUCUAGCCACACAGCUCCCUUGGCAUCCCAGCGCUCUGUCGCCUGUGGAUAGUCUUCCUUUACCACACUGUCUUUGGUAAAGCCCUGCAAAUACAGCAAGAUCUGAGUUCUGUGCCAGCUUGAGAAUUGGUGCCACCGUUGCAAAGCCAUGCCAUCUGGGUUUGGAAUACCAACCAAUGAUCAGCCUACACCUAAGGACCAAAGCAGAUACAGCCGCAGUGAGCCUCAGGAGGCUGCACCUCUCCGCCAGGUGGUUCUCUGGCCGACCUCUGGAGAGCCACCUGCUCUCCACCCCGGUCCUCUGUGGCCACACCCACACUUCUGCACCUUCUCCACAACAUUCAAUCCUCUUCCCUAACACUUCUUUACCAAGAUUGACCAAGACUUUCCAGAUGCUGGCAUCAAAGGAUGCGCAGGUGAAGCUGUGGUCCUACGCCUGCAAGUAUCCUUUUCACAACUUCCAAAUUCACAUCUCUAAUCUGCAUCUUUCUUCUGUGUAUUAAACAUAUCGGGUUUUUGUUGUCAACUAAAUUAUUGCAGGAAUUUACACAUGAAUCUGUCUAAAUGAAUGGAAAUCUGAGGAGAGUAACUUCUUCCCCAAAUCUACAUAAUCUUUCUGUGCAUUUAAUGAUGAAUGUAAUGCCCACCCACAAGUUGACUACACAGGUGACCCCAGGAUAGAUCCUUUACUUCUCCGUCACUCUUCAACUUUCAGUCCAAGUGCUGACACGAUUUCUCUUUUUUUCAUCUUCAUGCCUUUCCAGCCUUCUGCCUUUUUCAUCCCUACUCCACUGUGGAGGGCCUCAGUGGCUCCCUGACCAUGGGUGACUGACAGUCCAUCAAGCCCCCUCCCUGUCUGCGGCCAAGCUGCCUCCAUGUCUGAAGCCCUCACACUCCCAGCGCUCAGCUCUAGCUCAGCACUUAGGGGUGGCAUUGUUCAGUGUGUUGACUCAGCCUUCUCCAUAAGCCACCUGGUGGGAGCUAGAAGCUAUGUCUUUUAAUAUUUCAAGAUGCCUGGCCCAGAAUAAGUAUUCAAUAUAUAAUUUCUAGGUGAGUAAUUGGCCAAGUAUCUAAAGCAAAUUAUCAUAAUUGCACUCAUACAUUCCCACGUAUAUGUUUUUAUGUGAUUUUAGUUUUGUUGUUCAAUUUUGUACACUUAGAAAAUACCAGCCCAAGCACUUUUUUACUUCCCACCUUGCUUUUUAUGCUAACAAUAAACAUAUUAAUUGAAGAAGGGUUGUUUUUCUCAGGCACAUUUUAUGACUUUGUAUUUAUUAGCUUAUUUUAUUUCUCCAACAGCUACAUAGGUAGUUCUUAUUAUUAUUCCCCCCAUUUUUACACAUGAAGAAACUGAUGCACAAACAGAAGCAGAAUAGGACCAGAAGCCAGAUGCCAGCGCCAGGGACCCUGCCCUGGCUGCUGCCGUGAUCUUGCCCAAGCCACUGUUGCGCUGCUUCUUGCCUCCCUUCCAUUCGUGAGGAGUGGGCAGAGGGGAGCCUCACUCCAGAAUCAAUUGCAAUGAGCCUCCCAGCUGGAAGCCAUGGGCCUCGUCAAGCGACUAGCCUGUUCUUGUCACCAGUGGUCUGUACCAUGUGCAUGGGAUGCAGAUGGUUUCAGCAUGAAGUAAAGAAAAUUGGCCACGAGGGCUGAGUGGUGGCUCAGUGGUAGAGCACUUACCUAGCCUGUGUGAGGCACUGGGUUCGGUUCUCAGCACCACAUAUAAAUAAAUAAAAAGAAAAGUCUACUGAAAACUAAAAAAUAUUUUUAAAAAAAGAAAGAAAGGAAGGAAAGAAAGAAAAGUGACCAUGAAUGAGUUCAGAAGUGGCCAAAAUCAUUAAGAUCUAGAAAUGCUUGAGCAUUCCUUUCAGAAUCCAGAUGUGAUAAAAAAUUAUUCAAAAUACAUGUAGAACACUUAUCCUGAGUUCCAUAAAGAGAUCCAAAAGUGAUGGAGAGUCCCUUUACGAUUCUUUGUUAAUCUUCUGACAAUCCCAUGAGGAAAGAUUCAUUUCAAUCAGUGCAGAUGACCUGAGGAGCUCUCAGUCGCUCCUGGCCCUCCAGAGUCAUGGCAUCCCUAGACCUCCGAUUUUUAUAAAAUAUUUGAAAGUAAGGUUGAACGUUCCUGUUCUAAAAUACACGGCUGCAUGUGCUAAGUGCUUUCUAGAGUAUUGUGACUUGUGUCAGGGUGGUGGUGACAGAAGGAAUGAAUCUGUUCAUUUGUUUAUGCCCGCUGGUGGAAAACAAACUGAAUAUCAGCCAACAUAAUUCAGUUGACACUGUUCUGAAAUAUCCUCCUCCCACACAAAGCAGGAUUUCACAUUUGCAGAAAAUAUUUAUCUCAACAGCAAGCAAGCCCAUACUGGCUCAUUUCAUAGCUUUAAAUCACCACAUGAAGGAACGUGACCAGGCCAAGUCUGGAGUGCUCCGGCUCAGGUAGGGAUGAAGCGUGUCACCAGUUCCCAGGGGCUAUCAGGGAGAUGGCAGCAGGCUCCACAUGAAACAACCUUCGGUCAGUUGUUUUGCCCCACUGGCCAACAUGGACAGGUCACUAUGGCUUGACAUCUGCUUGAAUGCCAAGCGGAAAGUUUGAAGAAGGCAUUUCAUUAUCUCAAUCAGGAUUACGUCCUGUGCUCUUGAAUGAUAUUCCAAGUCAGGUUACAACUUUUCUCUUAUGUCUCAUAAUUGUUUCAGUAAGAAUAAAUGUUGAAAGGGAAAUGUAUCCCAUUUGUAAAAACCUUGAAACAGUUAAGCAAUGAACCCAAUUAAGUAGCCUUUUUUUCCCAGAAGAAAGUAAUGUUUUAAAUCAAUUAAUUAAUUCUUUUUAUAAGCGUGUAUUGCCGUCACCUACAACAUAGCUGUCACUGAGCUAGGCAAGAGAAGGGCAAACAAAACACAUUUCCUCUGCCUCCUCGUGGGUUACAGUGUCUUGAGGGGACAUUCAGAAAUAAGUGACUGUGGGAUAUGUUAAGUACUUUGGCAGCACUGUGAAUAAACACUGUGGAUAACAAGGCAGAAACACAGAUACUUCUUGGAGUUUGGGCAACAGCCUAGGACAGAAGACACCUUUGCUUUGUGAGUGAGUGGAAGCUCACCUGUACACCAGUAUGAGAGCAGGGAAGGCAAGAAGUUGGGAUCCACCUUUCAACUCCUGGUGCCACAGAGACAAUGAGCCUGGUUAUGGGAAGGCCGAAGAGCUGGGUCCAGGAAAAACAUAGGGGAAUUGGCCUUGAGCUUUCCUCUAAAGAGUUCUUUUUAGAUAUUUUAACUUGAGCAGGUUUGUAAAUCUCUACCCAUCACAGUCUGGAAGCUGGGGUAUAUAUAAAGCACAGAAGAAUUGCCAAGAUGCUCAAGGGGAAAUUAUAUUCAAUAGAGGCAGAGAGGAUGUAAAGACGGAUUUUUUUUUAAAUUUUUUAUUUGUUCUAAUUAGUUAUACGUGCCAGCAGAAUGCAUUUUGAUCAUUGUACACAAAUGGAACACUACUUUUCAUCUCUCUGGUUGUACAUGAUGUAGAGUCAUACCAUUUGUGCAAUCAUACAUGGUCCUAGGGUAGUGAUGUCCGUAGGUAGUGGAAUAAGGAUGGGAUUUGAAGAACUGCAGAGGCAGAGCCCCAGGGAGCUCCGCCAUUACCUAGAGAAUUCCACACUGUAACCGAGCUGUCGCUCACAGACUCCAGGAGAAGCCAGAGCCUUGGAACUGCAAAGUCAAGGAAGGUCUGACUGAAGACCUGGGUCCGGCCCCUUGUCCUGUUGCUUCCAGAUGAUGUUGCACAUACUGGGCCGGGGAGGCCACCUCACGCCACAGGCUGUGAUUAUACUUGCAUUUCAGUCACUGGUCAUUUAUGUGUGGGAACAAAGGCCAGUGGUCUCAUGGUCUCAUGUUUAAUGGCACUUCUUUUUUUUUUUUUUUUGCAUGUGGGCAGCUGCCUGUAAAUAUUUAUGAAAUGAAUGAUUUUUUUUUUUGGAAAUUUUUAUUGCCUAAAAUAGUUCCCUUUCCCCAAUUCUAGUUGUUUGUUGGUUAUUUUGAAGCCUAAGUUAAAGGAAUCUCUUCAGCUCUGAAGUAGAAGCUUUAGAAGUGAAAGGUCUGGUAAACGUGUAGUGACUGGUGAUGGAUUCCAGUUGGAGGGGCCAUGGAGAUAGGUGUUGAGCAAGGGUUGCUUAGUGUGGGAGAAGCUGCCUGAAGCCAGCGUCCAUGUUCCCUGCAAGUUCCUUUCUCUAGGAAUAUUCAGAGAACAACCUGGGUUUGGUGAGUUCCCAUAAUGGAUAUGAAAUUGGCCACUUUUGAUGUGUAGAGUUUAUCUGAGAGCCAAAGAGGUGUCAUGGGCCACAUAUUGAUACUGACUCCUUUGACAAAAGUGUGCUUCAUCUUGAUUACUUACUGCUAGAGAUGUGUCUUAGAAGCCAGACCAUGUUAGGGAAUAAAGCCGGCUAGUCUAAGCCUACCUUUAUGGGAAAAGGGAGAAUGUGAAAGUUUUUAAUGCUUUUCAGAGUCCAUCAGAAGAUAAUUUACAUUUUAGGCUACCUAUUAAGAGUCCAAUUACCUGGGUGCAGUGGUGCACCCCUGUAAUCCCAGUGGCUCUGGAAGCUGAGGCAAGGAGGAUCACGAGUUCAAAGCCAGCCUCAGCAAAAGUGAGGCACUAAGCAACUCAGUGAGAUCCUGUCUCUACAUAAAAUACAAAAUAGGGCUGGGGUUGUGGCUCAGUGGUUGAGUGCCCCUGGGUUCAAUCCCUGGUACAGCCCCCCUCCCCAAAAAAAGAAGAAAGAAAACAAAACAAAGAAAAAAAUCCAAAUGGACUAAAAGCUAAAAUAGUUCAAAUCUGAUUGUCAUAUCCACCAAUGUCUACACUGCUGGUUUAAUGCAGAACAUCCAGUUCUUUCAGAGUCCCAGAAUAAAAUUAAAUUUACAGCAAUUUUUCUUAUUAGUAUAUUUGGUAAUAUUCUGCUUAUAUGAAUAUUGGUAAGUCAUGUCAUUGUUACACAUCCAUUCAUUCAGAAAGAGGCAUUUCAGUUCAGCUAUUUGAGAGGAAGUAUGCUAGUUGUUUGGGGUGUGAAUAAAUUAGGAAGGGUCCCUGCUAAAAAUCUAGUACAUUCAAGAGGCUAAAAAUCUAGUACAUUCAAGAGGCUAAAAAUCUAGUACAUUCAAGCUGGGUCUUUGUACUUGUGUUUUCAUGGUUCUUGGGCCCAGUGGGCAUUUGUCACACUUGGCUAUAAUGUCCUGUUCACAGAUAAUGUGCAAAAAAAGAGGAGAAAGAACAUUAGGAAAAAUUUUUUAAAAAAAUAGCAAAAGGCCUUCAGUCACUUAUAUUGACAACAGCAUCUUAUUUAUUAAAAAUGCAGAUAUUCAGGUCAAAACUCAGUUAAUUGAUAACCGUAACCACACUGAGGUAAAGAAAAUUCAAGAUUCAAGGCAACUGAAAUCAUGAAUAGCUCAUUGCUCAACUUAAUUGUUCUUUCUCCUCUUAAUACCGCCUGUUAACAUUUUGCAAUUGGAAUGUUUUCCAUCUGUGCCUUUACUUGAAUGGUGUGAAUAUAGCUGAUGAAAACUAUUAUCACUCUGUCUUUCAGACUUCGAUCUGCUUUGUGGUGACACGAUUACAAGCAGAAAAAUGUUAGUGCAGUCAUCCACUUGAUGUUAUAUAGUUUUAUGUCCCAGGGUUAGAGUUUCCCAUCUGUACUUCAAACUGCUCUAGUCAUUCUUAUUGUGAUAGGGAAUACCUAGGUAGACACGUGCAGAAAUGUCACCUGUGUGAUUGAUCAUAAUUGUGAAUGCUCUGUUGCGCUCUUUUAAAGAUUCAGGGUAACACUAAAUGUAAAGAUGCUCUUGUGUUAAUAAAUAAAAAUAAUUAGAAUGUAUGAAUUUGUCCAGUGUUACUUUGGGAUAUUCUUCCAAUAAAGUGUCCUGUGUUAAGUGUGAGAUUGGAGAAAAAAGUGAGAGGUUGGACAAAUGAGGAAAUAAAAUACUUAGGCACAAGAAGAAGAGUGUGACUUAAAGAGGAACUUAAGGCAGCGAGGGUAAAUGACUAUUUUGCAGGAUGUUUACUUUGUGUUUGAAAUUAGGAAAUUUUACAAAUCAUUUGACUGCAUAGGGAUGUCAUCUACUUUCUGUGUAGUUAACAUGAUUAGAAGAAAUUUGGAUUAGAAAAAAACAACAAAUGCUUUUUUACAUUUCUAUGUCAACAGAUAUUAGCCCAUAAUUUAGGCAAGGGAGGUAUUUCCUGCUCUGACAUGCUCAAAAAUAAGCCUGUGACUUUAUAUUUUAUUUUGUUUCUGUUUUUGAGGAAAUGCAACAGAAAGAAUUGUUACCCUUGUGGCCCCUGUGUCAGGUAAUGCCCGUGCCCCAUGGGCAAGUGUAGGAACUAGUCUUAGCCAGGACACAAGAUUUCCUCCAAAGCGAGUUCUUUGUUCAGAUUCAAAUACCAGUCUUCAGAGCACAGUGAACCAAGAGUACACUGCAGACAUGAUGUGCUUGAAAUCCACAGUUCGUCUUUCAUCUGUGUAAUUACAUUGGAAGAAACAGGCAGGAGCGUGCUGAGGACAUGCCUGGCUGGGAAUUGUGCUUGGUGAGGCCUGAGUGUAGGAGCCCCUCCCAUGCCCCGUUGCAACCUUAAGCACCAGUACAGCUGAAUUUGAAGGAAGAAGUAAUUCAUGACAUGUGAGUUCAUAAGGGUGGGGCCCUGACCAGGUUGGAUUAGUGUCCCUGUUGGAAGAGACACUGAAGAGCUUCCCCUCUCUGCAAGCAUGCACACACAGCACGGCAAGCUCUGUGAGGGUCUAGGGCCAGGCAGGAGGCAUCUGGAGGCCAGGACAGAUGUGAUUUUUUCUUAAUUCCACAUUCGGUCUUUUUUUUCCUCCUGAGAGUCUCAGGAACAACAAUGAAAGCCUACGGCAGUGGGAAAGCAAAACUGUUUUUAUUUUUGACCAAGAAGAGAAUUGGGUGACACUCUCACAAAUCAGCUUCUCAGCCUGAACAAAGACUGAGAAUUCCUUUAAGGUAAGGGGAGAGGGAAGAUCUUAGGUAGCAAGCAGGAGGAUUACACAUGACUUUUCUGGAAAGGACUCCGGGCUUGGCCUGGCCUUCCCUUAUUCAUUACCAGCCCCUUUCCAGUCUAGGUCCAGAAUGGUUGGCCAAGGUGGCCGGAGGGUGGGAGUUUGACUGGGGUGAUGUGUGACACUGGAAGGUGCAGAGUCUGGGUCACCCUGGGUCCUCUGUGGCAAAGCCAGCUCUAACCUGUCAUGCAGCAGUGGUUGCCAGAGGCCCGAGUGGCCUGUUUGGUGGUUUCAUCAUCUGAGAGGAACACUGAUUGGUGAAGUGGGCUGCACUGCUCAGGGCUUUGAGGGGGUGUCUGCCCUUGACAGACACUGACCCAACUGGACCUUGACCUGGGACUUCAGCCUCUGCACUCAGUCCAUGGUAUUUUGUUAGGAUUGUAAGAGUCAAUGUGUUUUUUAUAAAAGAAGUUUAUAGCUAAUGAAUGUUUAUGGAUACUUCCUCAAAACCUCUUUUUUUGAACAACUCAUUGGAGAACACUUGCCCUCGUUGUUCUUAACGUAGGUAUUGUUCACACAAGGCCUUUGCAUUUGUGGUCCUCAGGAAUGGUUAAGAUCUAAGAUACAAGACGAGAACCAAACAGGACAAUGUUGGUUCGGAUCUUCCAGAAUCCAGCCCAUGCCUCUGCAUUUCUCUAAUCAUUAUGUUUUUCAAGAUGAUAACAAAAUGUUCCCAGUGGACAGGACAGGGACUUUGAAGUCCAGAUCCAAAUAUUCAAUGGCAAUUGAGAAGCCAGGGGACACUUUUCUGGGCGGUCAGGGAAAGGCGAGCUGCUCUGGGACUGAGUGCUGUGGGGUUGAUCACACUCGUAGUUCCCGGGAGAUGUGCUGAUUUCACAGGGCUCUUUGUGAUGGUGAAGCGUGAGCAGCCUGCCUGUGUGUGUCUCUGUGUGCGCUUCCUACACGCUCUUCCCACUUGUCCAACAUUAGGCGAAAGGCAUUUCCAAAGAGAAUUCUAUUUCUGAGUUUUCCAUGAACAUCUGCAUUUUUCAAGAUGAAAAUGAUUCUUCCUGGAUUGAUUUUAACAACAAGCAGUGCAAAGAGAGGGGAUGCGAGGCAGGCGAUGUGGCCACACACCAAUUUCCUCCCUUACACACGGUUCCUAUCACUUAUCAGAAUUUUAAUUCCACCUGCUAAGUAAUGCAGGUCGUAGAGCAGAGGUUAUGCAUGCAGCCACAGCUGAAAAUCUUCAGAUGCCUUUUCAUUAUACUGUGGGUGCACUGCAAUCUCUUCGGGCUCCUUGGGGGAUGGAGCAAAGAUUGCUGAGAUAAAGGUGAAUUACUUUAUUUAUUUAUAUUUUAACAGGGAAAGAGCCACCCGUUGAUUCGUCCAUCACAGUUCAAACUCAGCCCAUCCAUUAGCAUCACAUCUGUUAUGGUCCUUUCUACUACACGAUUUUAGAAAGACUUAACCUCAAGUAUUUAAUCAUAAUGCUUGGAAGGGAGAAAGAUCUUUCCUUAGCAGUGUUGGAGUACUCAUUGGCAGACAGCAGAGACAGGCUGGGUUAAUGUCGAUUUCUUUACUUUUUUAUAAAUGCCCCCUGUGUUACCAGCAUGGAUUUGAAGGUGAUGUAAUUUUCUUGCAAAUCCAUUAGUUUUAUAGGUUUUUGGCAAGCCCCACUGCUAUGUUGAUUAGAUAUAGUAACUGUGUCUAUUUAAACAGGGCUUUAAAUGCUUGGCUCAACCCUCUGCACUGCUGGAUAACAAGAUGUACAGUAGAUGCUCUCACUUCAGGUUGUGCUAAGCAGUGGUUUGACACAUAACUUAGUGUUUAGCCAUUUGUGAUAAGAAGCACUUUAAUUGCAGAGUUAAUUGCAGGUGCCUCCAAGAUAUACUUUUAAAUGCUCCCUACCAAAUAAGAGACAGCCUCUCCACCUCCUUAGGUGGCUUUACUCUAUCACUGUUUCCCAAAGUGUCCUCCACAGAACAGCAACAUCAGCAGCACCUGGGAGCUUGUUAGAAAUGCAAAUUCUUGGUUCCACUCCAGCUCUUCUGGAUCUGAGAGUCAGGAAGUCAGACUCUGCAAUCUACACUUGACGAAAAGUACUCCUGGGAGUCUUCCCAUGGACUUUAAGAACCACUAUAUUGGAGAAUCCCUGUCACAGGGUGCUGCUGUAUUUUGGUGCUGAACAAUUAAUUUGAAACAUAUUUGACUUAUUCUGAAUGAAUCAACUUUCUAUAUCCAAAUUAGCUAAUGCUGGAAAAUUACUACUUAAUAAUUACAAAAAGCAAUCACACAUCUCUUAAUUUUUUAAUAUGUAUCUUUACACUGAUAGAUUUGGCUUCAUUAUAAAUGUAUUAGCAUUGAGGUUUGGGGGUGAGGGAAAGUAGCUAUUCUUUAUUUUCCUUAUCUCUCUUGCCUCCUCUUUUUCAUUAUCUAAAGAAGUUAACAUGGCAUGCUCCAUUAAACAAGAUGCAGCUUUUAUUAUCUUUUAUCUCUUCCUGAACCUUUUCAAUAAAUGCUACUUGAUUACUCUUGCAUGUUGAGAGAGACAUUUAGAAUAAUCAAAACAUAAAGAAAGUGUGAUGCUUGGUUAAUCCAGGGCAGAACAACUUCCUCAACACCAAUAAAUGGGUUCAGACUAAAGCAAACAGGAAUACCACGGGAUGCCAGAGAUGCUGCUUUGCAGGAGGUACGAGGUGAGAAAUCUGUUCCAGGAAAAUAAACAAAUCAGUGGUAAAUACACUUCCUAGCCAUAGAAGUGUCCAUCUCCUGAAAGAACAGCCCUGGCCACUUAGAGAUCUGAGAGUCACUGCAGUUGCGUCUUACAAAUGAUCGCUUUAGUUGUUCGUUUGUACAUUCACUCAUUUACUUUUCCAUUCAUCAAACAUGGAGAGGUUUCCACGGGUCCUUUUGUUGUUUUGCGUUAGCUGAGCCAGAACUGUAUUUCCAGAAUCCCCUUGCCUGUGAAGUUCCAGGUGUGUUGCCUGCGAAGUCACAAGACAAAAGAUGCUUGGUUGGCAAUUGGGAUGGCAGCAGUAAAUCAGUAACAUUCUCCCUACGACACUGUGUCACUUGUCUCAGGCUUACCUUGUUGGAAUGGGACAUUGCUGGCCCCACGGGCCUUCCAUAUCCUAUUGAACUUCCUCCUUUGGUCUCCCAGAUUCCUGGACUGUAUGUGGGUUUACUUUUCUUACAAAAGAUGCCAGAUUUUGCUUCUGGUCCAACGGUCAUGAAAAGUAGAUUCUCCAUGGUUAAAGGUAGACCCCUGUGAAUUCCAUGCCGCACUUGCUGGUUCCAGCGGGUCCCCCUCCGUUCCCAGGUGAGUCCUUGCUCAGCUUUCUUUCCCCGCAAUUCCUGUCCACGUUUCCUGUGUAAGGUGGGCCUUCUCAUCCUGCACUUCAGACCCAGGUUUUAAGCAGCUCUUGCAAUUUUAUAAAGUCAAAUCCACACAGUGAAGUUUUUAUUAGUGUCAUGGUCCAUUGAGAUUGCUGUAACAAAAUGCCCAGGCUGAGUGAUUUGUAGGAGUUUCUCUUUCACAGUUCUGGAGGCUGGGAAUUCAAGAUCAAUGGACCAGCUGACUCAGUGAGGGCUGUCCUGCUUUCAAGACGGCACCUCCUUGCUACAUCCUCUGGAGUGAGGCCUGUGUCUUCACCCGACAAGGGCAGCAGAGUGGAAGAGCUGUGCUGGUCCUGUAGCUCUCUCACAAGGGGUAAGAUCCCAUCGGUGAGGACAGACGUCACCUGGUCACCUCAAAGUCACGGGAUCUUCACAUCAUUGCAUUGGAGAGACACAAACACUGUAACCUAGUGAACACCGUCACUCCUAGUGAACAUGCAUCUCUGAUCAAAACAUCAUGCAAAAUUUGGUACUAAACAGUGUUCCAAAGGAACUGAAUCCUGACAAUACUUUCUUCUAAUUGUUUCUAAGAUUUCUGGAAUUCAUUCUAUGUUUUGUUCAGAUUUACAGGCAUUUCUGUACUUCAGUGACUGCCUCUAAACUCUGUGACCAAGUACAUUCAGAAGGUAUGAGCUUAUUGACAAAGGAUGCAAUUUCAAAAGCCCCAAAUUCCUGUGACUUACAAGCCACAAGAUUUGUUUCUGACUCAUGAUCCCCAGAGACACCCUCAGAGGGGCUGCAGCUGCACCCCACCUGCCUUCUCCAGUGGAAGUCACCACUGUCCUGGCACAAGGCAGGUCUCAAGUGCUGGCUGGUGCAUAGGGACCUGCCAUUGGUCAUUUACAUUCAUAUUCUGUUUGCAAAUAUACUGGUUGACAAAACCUGGGUUUCACAAGGUUUCUCUUACAACUUAGGACCAUGAAACCAGCCACAGCAAUUUAUUAGAUGACCCUAAAGGGGUUGGUUAUGAUUUCUUGGAGGCCUGAAAAGCCAUCUCAAAGCCCAGAGCAAAAACAUCAUGAAACAAGAUUAUGGUGAAAGAAGAGAUAAAUAAACAAUAAUAGUCCCAGAUGAGGAAAAAAGCAAUUAUGGAAUGGAAGACAGACAUUAUGUAAGCAAAUAAUAAAAUAAAGUUUUUAUGAGACAAAAUAGAAAGUUCUGUUUUUGUUCCAUGCUGAAAUGAAGAGAAAAAGAUAAAUCUAGAAAGUUCCUGGUAAAAAUUUCAACUGUAGGAACUGAUUUAAUAACAGCAAAAACAACACCAAAGGAACCCUCUUCUGGAGAGAAGUAAGAAAAUUUUCCCAAAGGGGGGGAAAAGUCAGGUUGAUAUCAGGCUUUUCAUCUCUAAACACUGGAAGCUACAAAGAAAAAAAAAAGAACAAGGAGGAGGAGGAGAAAAAAGAAGGAGGAGAAGAAGAAAGAUCCAAAGAAGAAAGGAGGGGAGGGGAAGGGCUCUUGGACAAUAGCCCUAAACCAGCCAGGACCUCGCUCUCUGGUGACAAUGACAGGUACACAGCAAGAGGGGGAAGUGAGCAUCAGACAGGAGAUGUGGCCACACCUCAGGGGUUCACGCAGCAGGCCCAAGAGCGCUGGGAAGGGUCUGCUUCCAAAGUAGGCGAGGUGUGAAGGCCCAGCAGGAGCCAGACCUCCCAGUGCAGAGGAGGAUGGAAGAACCAGAAAGACUAAUGACAACUCCUUUUCCUGUUCCCCUGGAACUCCAAAGCACCGUGGUAUUGGCUUUAGAGACUUCACAGAAACGUCUCACGUGCUUCAGUGGUUAGGAGAGUUGAGAUUUCUGCAUCUUGAAUAUUGGAUGUCCUGGGCACGUGGCUUUUGUUCCUCAGAGCGCGAGUGUCCUCUGUUAUGUCCACUGAUUUGCACAGGUUGAACCAUCCUUGCGUCUGUGGUAUAAAUUCCACUUGAUCGUGGCGUAGUCUCUUGCUCAUCUCUUGAAUUCCAUCUGCCAGUAUUUUGUUGUGAACUUUUGCAUGUGUGCCAUCAGGAAUCCUUUAAGAAAUUUUGAAACAGAAAAGACAUAUAGUCCUUGGUCUCAGUCUGCUGUAGCCGUUUGGUGGAAGAAGUAAUAACUAUCUUAGUUUUAGUGAAAAGUGUGGUUGUAAGUAUGUUUGUGGUCAUAACAACAGUAACCCUCUUGAUUGGGAAAUCUCCAUAGAAUUCCCAAGUUAACAAUGGAAGAAAGAAACAAAUAGUAGCUUAAUUAGCAGGAUUUAAAAAAAAAGAUGGAGGGGGAGUGAGAAAAACAACAAAGUACAAUAUAGAAAAUUAUAAAAGGAAAUUUCAUAAGAACAUCAUUGUAACAGACUGACAUGAAUGUAUAACUUUCGUCUUUUUUUCAGAAGAAAAUGAAUAGUCUUAAAAGCUUUUGAUGGCACAUGCCUGUCAUCCCAGCAACUCAGGAGGCUGAGGCAGGAGGAUCACCAAGUUCAAGGCCAGCCUCAGCAACUUAGUAAGGCUUUGUCUCAAAAUUGAAAGUAAAAAGAGCACACACUAUCUGAACAAUUCAGUGCACAGAGAGGAUUAAGCACUGCCAGAGGAGAGAUCACAGAGGUGAGCCAUCUAGGGGGGAAAAUGGUUCAAGAACAAUAGUUUCAGCCAAACAUUAAACCUUCUUUAAAUGUAGAUCAAGAAACUCAGUACUUUGUUUGAUUUAUGAAAGCCUAUGGAAAACAUUAGCAUCCUCUAGGUCCAUUAUUAAAUCAACAUUAUUUCGAUACCAACACUUGAUAAAGAUACCUGUAAAAAAGAAAACUGUAAACAAAUCUCAAUAAUAAGGCAAAAAUUCUAAAUGACAUAAUAGCAAGAACCAUCAGUCAUGUAACAAGAGAACAAUGCACUGAGUCCUCCGGGUUUCUUUCAAGAGUAGAAGGGUAGUUUAUAGGGUUAUAAGGCCAAAGGGGUAAAGGAUUUGAACAUUAUCAAGAUGCUCAAAAGUAUUUGGCAAAAUUCUGCAGUCAGUUCUAGUAAGAAUUCUAAAUAAUUUGAAAAUAAAAGUAGAAUACAUAAAUGGCAAAUGCUAUAUAUAAAAAUAAUAGCAAAUAUUAUCAUAAAUUACAAAAAUCGAAAAUAUUUCAUUAAAAAUUAGGGACUAGGUAAAGGUUUCCACCAACACUAUCAUUACUAUUUUUUUUAACAUUUAAACAAAAGCAAAAGAUAAGAAAAUAAAAUAACAUAAGCAUUUGACAAAUAUAGUUAUAUUUGUUGAGGAUAUAACUGAAGAUGGAAAUACCUUAAGAGAUACUUGUUAACAAGCCUAAUAAUUAAUGUGAUUACCUGGAUAGUUUAAUCAGUGGCUUUUUAUCCAAUCUGGAAAUGACAAUAACUGUACAAAAAACAAACAGCGAGGCAUGGUGCUACAUGCCUGUAAUCCCAGCAGCUCAAGAGGCUGAGGCAGGAAGAUCACAAGUUUAAGGCCAGACUCAGGAACUUAGUGAAGCCCUAAGUAACUUAGUGAAACCCUGUCUCAAAGUAAAAAGUAAAAAGGACUGGAGAUUGGAGCUCACUAGUAGAGCAUCUCUUGGUUAAAUGCCCAGGACCAAAUAAAUAAAUAAAUAAAAGAUAAAACAAAAAUGCUGAGUAAUUAUAUUUACAAACAUGCUAUUUUUUAGAGAGAGAAAAUGAUACGUCUUACUAAAUGAUUUAAUACUCAACACAUCACAAUUUCCUGGAUGACACGAUUUUAUGUUAUAAGACAAUGAAUAUGCAUACACAUAGGAAUGUAUUCCAAAUACCGUCCCCAACUUUUAGAUGGAGCUGACUGUUGGUUUAUGAAAAGAAAUGGGUGAGAGGAAACUACCCUCAACCUGUGUUAGGUGAACCAUGUUGUUCCCUUAAUGAAAUGACUAUCAUGCUGGUGUCAGAAUAAGCACAUAGAGUAAAUAGGAAUAGAAUGAACAUUUGAGUUAGUAGGCCUUUUAACACAUGACAAGGAAGUAGUUAAUUCAAUGAAAAACAGAUGGAUUUUUAAGCAAAUAUGAUGUGUAAAAAUGGUGGGCUCUCUGGGACAGGAUAUACAAAGCCUUCGGUGGAAAGCAAGUGAGCAAACACCUAUAAAAACUCUACUAAAUAGUAAGAAGACUCUGUAUAUAUAGCUGUUAGUGGUCAGUGGCCAUAAUAAUUGCUUCUGGAAAACUGGGAGUUACUACCAAUAAGUCUAGUCUACUGUAUAUAAAUAAGACGGUGGAAAUAUAGUCAACAGGCAAUGACCAGUCCAUGAAACUUUUUAAUCUGAUGACAUACAAAGAGUUAAUAAAAAAUGAGGUCUCACAAAUAGGAAAACAAAAAGUUUAAUAUAAAUUGGCUAAAAAUACAGCUCAGGAAUUCACAGAUAACUGAAACCUCAUCUGUACAUGCACAAAUCCUGCCAUUUGCAAGAACAUGGAUGGAACUAGAAAUCAUUACGUUAAGUGAAAUAAACCAGGCACAGAAAGUCAAAUGCUCCACAGUCUCACUCAUCUGCAGAAUUUAAAACAGGUGGAUUGAGAUUAUAAAGGUGGUCACCAGAGGCUGGGGAGAGAAGGAAGUGGGGAUGGGGGAAGGCUGACCAGUCAGCAGCAAGACCUGGGGUGCUACUGCACAGCAGCGUGGACUGUUGAUAGCCAUGAUGUCCUGUCAUUUCGUAGAGCUAUAAGGAAGCAUCUUGGAAGCCUUCAUCAUAAAGAAAGCUAGGAGGAAAUCACCUUUCCAUAUUGGGGCUGUGGGCAGAAGAGCAGGCUUAUCCAUAGAGAUGACAUAUGUGAACCAUGCGGUCUUUUUAAAAGGCAGCUGGCAAUAUUAUAAUUAAAAUGCAAAUAUCCUUUUAAUCCAUCUCAAAGUGCCAUGGACACACUGUGAAAAGGCACUAAGUACCAGGGCAGCAUUAGUGUAGUGGCCACCACUAGAAGCCUGUAGUGCCCAUACAUGGAAGAAUGUCACCUAGGCAAGGUCGUGUCUAUCAUACUUUUGUGUCUAUGUGAUGUUCUCAUAUUCUGGAAGACUUUUUAUCAAACAAUAGAAAUAUAUUAAUUCUUACAAGAGUGACUAUCUACUGGACUCCAAAGUUUACCUCCAAACUCAAUUUUUCUCCUCUGAUCAAAAAAGGAGCAAAAUUGAAAACCAUCAAUCAAAAGUUAGCCAAAGCAGCAAGAGCAAUGACAGCAGCCACAAUGACAAACGAUGGAAAGUUCUCGGGUUUGAGAUAAACUGAUAAUUAAAAUUACAAACACCUGCAAUUGGAAACACUAUAAGUGUUUAACCUGUUCUCACCUUCCUGCCUUCUAUUCUUUACAACCAUUGUUCACACUGUAAUAAUUUCGUACUAUAACCAGAAUGUUAUUAUGACAUGAAUGUGCGUUCAUAUUGCAGUAAAAUAUGCAUGUGGGGAUGUAGUUAAAAGUCAGCCAAGAAAAGAUAGUUAAAAAAAAACCACCACCUCAAUAGUGGGUUAAAUACAAAGCUAAUAAAAGUGAUGCAGUGGUUGUAAAUGAGAAAGCAUGAAGUCUCACCCACUCUCACCUCUCCACCCAAUGUUGCGAGAGAGUCCUGUGUGUGAUGCUCUUGAGUCAAGGCUCACAUUUUACAACAUUUGUGUUCCUUGAUGAACCACCACACCCCAGCAGUUGUCCUCAGGUCUAUAUUUCGAUGAACUUGACCUUUCACACUAGUUAUUUCAGCACAGCUUCUCAAUGCAUCUCUUAGUUGGUUAAAUUGCAACCCUGAGAAUUCUUGCUUGACCUUUAUUGUACAAGGGCUCCCAACUGCUGUCUUCCCUGAGAUCUUUUUUCUGUGUCUGACAAGGUCUCUCCUGCCUUUGCAGCCAGCCGGCUGUGCAGGAGAACAUCUUGGUUGUCACUCUGUUUCUCCAAGGAGUUGGUGUCUAUUGAUUGCUUCCCUCUCUUUUAUCAUUUCCUGUUCCUUUGGAGAAGGAGUAUUGAUUCUCCCUUUUAAAGCCUAGUGUUUUAUGUUGGGAUCACCAAGGAAAUAUUUCUUUGCCUUUAAGUGUGUAGCUGCUCCAAGGACAUGACUUGGCAUUAAUCUCUCUGUCACAAUCUGUUCCUAGCAUAUAGUCUAAUAGUACAAUUUUCAGAUUCAGGUAUGACUUAUUUUUGAAAGUUUUAUUAAUUAUGUUAGGGAAGAGAAUUCAGUUCUAUCUCUCAUCUUUUUUGAAGAAUUGUAUGUGUGCUAGAUAACUUUUAUAGCUACCAUUUUUCACUUAAAAGUCAUUUCACUCAUGAUGUCUUUUAUAUUGAUGUUGUUUUCUGUCAUUUUUUAAAAAUUUCUGCUGCUUGCAAUAUGAUUUUUAUUUCUCUUUCUUUCAUUGUUCUUUUAUUAUUUAUUAUAGAAACAUGUUUUUUUUCCAAAAUAUUUAAUGAGAAGUACCUAUUUGUCAUAUUAAAUUCAUUUGAUCUUCUAUGCAAAGAUUCAAAUUAAUUAGAGCAUUUGGAAGCAGUAAGUCCCUUGAGUGUCUGUCAUACGAUUUGGGGGAGAGUCGAGUCGUACAGAUAUCAGCUGUAGAAGUAAGAGUCCUAGAGAAUAAUGUGGAGGUGAAUGCAUCUGUUUGGAAACGGGCCAUGUGUACAGGUGGCAUAAGACAGGUGAUUCUUGACAGCAUCAGGAUUAUUGUCUUAUUCUUGAUUACACCUUCAGGGUCACAUUGAAAUCUUCCACACAUUACACUUUUGCUCAACAUUGCUUGACUAAUCAAUGAGAAAAAUAUCAAGAGCAGAAAUCAGGGACAGGUUAUUCUAGUCCAGACGUUAGUGCCAGGUCACAGGACAUCCAGGUCUUUCUUUGCAUGUUCUCUCUUCCAGUCUCUUGGCUACCGAGAGUAUGGUCUCUUCAUUUCCCUUCCCUUUCUUCGCUUCCUUGCUUCUUUUUGGUCCUGGGGAUUGAGCCCAUGAACUACAUACCAAGCUCUUUUAUUCUUUUAGACAGGACCUCACUAAGUUGCUGAGGCUGACCUCAAACGUGCAUCCCUCCUGCCUCAACCUCCCUAGUCACUAGGAUUAUAUUCCUGUACUACCAUGCCUCACACUUUCUAAUGUUAAUAAAAUGCAAGGAAUAAAAUGCCGUCAAGAUUCAACACAAUGACUCUUCUUUUCAUCUUAAUGGAGAAAAAAAAAGAAACUUCAAUAUCCAGUAACAUAUUAGGUUCCAAAGAAUGAAGCUUCUACUGAAAGUAGCUAAAAAGGCUGGAAAACCCCAUAAUGCAUCAGCUUGUAAGUGUGAAUGAAAUGCAAGGGAUUGAGAAACUCUCAGGUCAGACAGGACAUGACAGUGGGAAACUGAAGUCAAACAGAGCCAUGACGUUGGUUUUAAAGAGCAUAAUUUGUGAAGCUGGAUGGACUUGUUCAUCUGUAUCAGAUCUUUGUAAUUCUUGGAGUAGGUGAGAGGAGUCCAGUGCCUACUAAGAGGACCUUCUUAUCUUAUCUGGAAUGCUAAACUAGCUGCAGAGGGACUGCAAGCAAAAUGUGCCUAUUUUAACCUUGCUGCUGACCUGGGAACUGGGAUGACCCCUCUGAAUUUGUAUCCAUAAGCAGACCCUCAUUCAGGUUUGCAGAAUGGCUUUAUAGCUCUGUAGUCUGAAAAUAUCAAACCCAUGAUUUAGAGUAAAGUAAUUCUGGAAUUUUAUUUAUACAGGGGUCUGAGAAGAAACAAGUACAAAACCUCUCUGUAGGAUUUCUAGUCUUCCAGACUUCAAAUAAAUCAUAUAAAAAUGUUUAUAAUUAAAACUCACUCAGUGAGCACGUUACUACAUUCAGAAGGAAAGAAGAUAUCAGACACAAUGAGGGAGAGCCAGCAGAACAACAGACUGCAAAGACUGAUCUGCAAAUGCUUCUGUUACUAAAAUUAUCCAACACCUAAUACUAAACAAUUGCAUUUUGUAUAUCUAAAAACAUACAGUUUGAAUAUUUUGAAAAGAAGAAGAGUCUAUCAAGAUGGGGCAGGCAGAUUUGAAAGAGAAUCAAAUAGUGCUGCCAGAGAUGAAGUAAAAUCAGAGUAAUUUUUAAAUAGCAAGUGUAGUGUCAGGCAAGAUAAAGCCGAAAGAAAAAUUAGUGCUCCAAAAUAUGUACGUAAGGAAAUUACCUCCAAUUUAAUAGAUGGAUAGAUGGAUGGAUGGAUGGAUGGAUGGAUGGAUAGAUAGAUAAUUACCAGAAGUCAGGGAGAGAGAAAUUGACAAAAUGGCAUUAAAGAGAUUCUGUGCUAUAAAAUACAUCCAGCAAGGUUAAGAAGAUUAUUAAAAUAUAAAUAAUGUUCUCUGAUCACACAGAAAUUAAUAGAGAGAUCAAUUUAAAAUAUAGUAAAAUUCUAUGUACUUAGAAAUUAGUAAAUAUUCUCCCCCAAAGAAUUCAUGAGGCAAAAAUAAAAGAUAAUAGUAAUUAGGAAUUUAUAAUUAUACAUUAUAAAUAAAUUUAUACAUUAUAUAUAAAUUUAUAAUUAAAAUUAUAAAUUUUGGAAAUAGAAGUAAAUUAGUACUUAAAUAAAAAUUUAUAACCUUAAAUAAUUUUAGAAGAAGAGAAAUAUUAGAAAUAAAUAGCUAUUCAUCGUACUUCAAAAUGAGAUAAGAGUAAAAGAAACAAAAAGUUGUGCUUUUAAAAAGACUAAUAAAAUGAAUAUACCAUUAGUGAGAUUAAGAAACACUAAAUUCAUUAACAAAAAGGAAUUAACAUUAGAAAAUAAGGAAUGAAAUACAAAGCAUUACUGUAGGUAUUCCAGACUUCUAAAAUGAUAACUGUGUGUUAAUCAGCUUCACUCCAUUGUGACAAAACACUGAGAUAAAACUGCCUGAGAAAAGGGUUACUUUCAUGUAUUAGCCUUAGGGAGACAUUCAAAAUUCAAACCACAACACUGUGAUUAAAAACAAAACAAAAACAUUUCUUUGAAAUUAAAUUUGAAUAUUUAUAGGAAAGAAAACUUCCUAAGAAUUAUAACUUACCCAAAGAGUCAGAUUAAUUAUUUUAGAAACCUAAAUUGCUUUAUGUCUGAUAUUCUGAGACGUUAUUAUAAUGUCUUCUUACAAAGUAAACCUCUCUGUGCUCAGAGAGGUUGUUCUGUGAGAAUAUUCAAAACAAGGGGAAAUAAUUCUAAUAUUACCUAAACUUUCCAAAAUAUUGAAAAAAAAUAAAGGACCUUUCCAAGUGAAUAUUACCCAAACUUUCCAAAACACUGCAGAAAGAAAGGACCUUUCUAAGUUAAUUUCAUCAGUUAGUAUAACCUUGGUUAUAAAAUUCCACCAAAGACUGUAGAUAAAAGUGAAAUUUCCAAUUUACUGUCACAGAGACUCAAGUAUCAUAAACAAAUCUGUGCUGUUUGAAUAAAUAGGUACAUAAGCAUAACACUUGAUGAAAGGGGAAUUUAACUCCAUGAAUUUGAAGUUGGGUUAACAUUUAAAAAUAUGAGUAAUCAUUUCAAAAAGGGAAAGAGAAUAUCAUGUGAUCAUUUUUUGGAAGUAGAUACAGUGCUUAGUAAAAUUCAAUCUCUAUUCAUGUAAAUAUAGGCAAAUUGGGAAUAGAAUAGAAUUUACUAAAUCUGACAAAUGGUAUCUUUCAGAUACAGCCGAUAUCGUAUGGUAGGCAGCCAUUAUAUGGAAGGUGUUGUGCUGUGGUUUGGAAUGUGCUAUGGGCUUCCCAUUGGUAACUUCUGGGCUUAUCUGGGGCUUGGAGGUUUCCCAAGCUGGAGUACUGAGUGUCUGGGGAACUGUGAAGGGGUCCUUCCACCAGGGUAGCCUGGUGUCUCUGGGUAGGCAAGGAUCAGCUUAACUCAAGGGGACAAAAGUCCUCAGGCUCCUUCCCAUUGGCUGCUCCUUUAGGUUCUACCCACUGCACUAGUGUCUCUGGGUGAGGAAGGAGGGUUGGGCUCCCAAGGACAAAGAAGCCUCGCUGGACUAGGCUGCUUCCUAUGGUCUCUCUUGACAGGUCUACUAUAUUACGUUGGUAAGUCUCUCUCUCUCUUUUUUAUUGAUUUUAUUUUUUUUAAAUACAUGACAGUGGAAUGCAUUACAAUUCUUAUUACACAUAUAGAGCACAAUUUUUUAUAUCUUUGUAUAUAAAGCAUGUUCACGCCAAUUCAUGUCUUGAUACAUGUACUUUGGGGUUUUUUUUUUUUUGCAUUUCAAUUCUUAUUACACAUAUAUACCACAUUUUUCAUAUCUUUGUUUGUAUAUAAUGUAUGUUGAUUGUUUCUUUUGCUGAGAAAAAAAAAACUUUUUAGUUUGAUUCCAUCCCAUUUAUUGAUUCUUGGUUUUAAUUCUUGCGCUAUAGGAGUCUUAUUAAGAAAAUUAGGGCCUAAUCCCACACGAUGAAGAUUAGGGCCUACUUUCUCUUCUAUCAGACGCAGAGUCUCCGGUUUAAUUCCUAGGUCUUUGAUCCAUUUUGAGUUAAGUUUUGCCAAAAACAUGCACUGGAGAAAAGAUAGCAUCUUCAACAAAUGGUGCUAGGAAAACUGGAAAUCCAUAUGCAACAAAAUGAAAUUAAACCCCUAUCUCUAUAUUACGUUGGAAUCUCUUGGUGAGAAAGCGGAGUCUCCGUCCUUUUGGAGAGAAGUGCUUGCUGGGCUGCUUAUAUCUGGUGGGACCCUCCACUGGUCUCUCUUAUUGGUGCUGCCUGCUGUGCUGAUGGGGGCAGAGGGAACCCAUUUAGCCUGGAGCAUUCUGCUGAAUCAGGCACUGGAAAUGUUGGGUCUGGGCGGUUCCUCUGCUGGGUGGUGUUCUGUUCUUCUUACAGCCUCUCCUUGGUCUCCUUUGGAUGACUCUUGUGCCACGUCCAGGGUUUAUCGUCAUGCUUAGGGGGAAGGAGGAAGGAGGAAUGAUCAUAAUCUCUUCUCCAGACUGGCAGUGUCCUUAUUAGUUUUUAACCUGUGCACAUAUGGUGUGGAUCCCACUCUGUUGCUUACAGAUUUUUGUAAUAAUGUGAAAUUUAUAAAACAGAAUGCUUAGUAGGUUAAAUUUUUUUUUUUGAUUGCCUGCUGUCCCCUUAAACUUACUCCUGAGUCCUAUAGGAAAUACAAAACGUGUUUGUACAUGAAUAAAAAUAUUUUUCCUAACUAUAAAGAGGAGAUCCAAAAAGCAUUGUCAGUAAUCUGUUAUCAUUCACUAUCUAAGCCAUCAGUCCAUACAAAGUUUAUAUGUGGUAAAUUUAUUUAUUAUACUGUAUAAAAUACAUUUAUUUAUUUUAUAUCCUGGAUAUUUUAAUUUAUUUGGAAAUAUUAUUUGAUGUUUAUCUGAAAACUACACAAUAAAUUGAAAUGUAAUUAAUAAUUUCUUUCUGUUGAACACAUGAUACAUAUCUGUUGUUUUAAAUGUAUUGUCAAGGUUGCGGCCAUAACAAAUCUACAAAGAUAGCAUUAUUAUCCACAAAUAUAAAUGUGAAAACUAUUUAUUCUUCUCUAGCACACUUGACUAUGACCACAGCUGCACAAAAUGCUCAUAUGUCCUUCCAAAGGUCAUAUUCUUCACACUGUACCACUUUCUUUGAAAAAAAAAUGGUGAUAUCAAACUAUGCUGUAUAAAAGAAAAAAAGUUAAUGAACUGUUCUAAUUUUCUCCCAUUAUUGUAUUAUUUCAUAAAUCCAAAACAAUAAUUUAUAUGUUCUUGUUGAAACAAAUAAAUGAAAUCAAAUGCCCCCGAAAUUAAAAAUACAUAUACAUAUUGAAAUGAAAAAUACUGUAAAAAACAGGAUCCAAGACACCUUUGUGUCUGUUUUUUGCUUGAUUCCUUUUUGAGAUUCUAUUAGAAUUGUGAAUACAUGGUCAAAAUUGAAAACAGAUAACAGAUUGAGGGAAAUACAUAUCCCAUUAAAUUUAAAGCAUUAUUUUCUUCCUUCACCCAAUCUCAAAAAGUAUGUGGACAGUAAGAAUGGCUUCCUUCAUUUACAUUGGAUUCUAUUACUCUCAGGUUGAUACAAAUAUUUGGGGGGAAGUAAGAUUAAUUGCAUUUUAUAAGAAUAACUGAAUUCUCAAUAUAUUCACAGAAUUGACUUGUGGUUUUAAUCUGAAAUAUUUUUUCUAGUGUUAAGAUUGUUAAGUACCUCCUAAGAAGCAAUUUCAUUCUGAGGUGGGACACUGAAGACAAUUUGGUUUUUUAUAUUUUUUUAAUUCCCAGUGAAUGUUGUACUUGUGGAAAAAGAGAGUACACCCCAUUUGGUCAUCUCAAAAAUCGUGCUCCAUUUAACGUCUGAGCUUGGAUUUGUUCCUGAGUUUCCACACACAUUUGAGUGGAACAUGCACACCUUUAAAUGAAACUGGAUGCACAUUUCACUUGGAGAACAAAGGUUAAAAACCAACCAACAUUCUUUAAUAUCCAUAAAUGUCAUCAUUCAGAACCCCUUGUGAAAUUUUUUAAAUAAGAAACAUACUUGGUAUCUUUUUUUAAUCAUAUUCUUCCUUUUAUAAAUGGGAGUAACUUCUUCCAACAUUAAUAUCAAGUACAUGAGCCUUGCCAGGAAUCUUGUGUUUCUCUGGGUUGAAAGCAUCCAGUCAGAUCUCAUAUAGCAUUCACCUUUCUUCUGAAAACGCUUGGAUCACAGCCCUGCCCUACUAAAUAUUUCCUUAACCUUUUUAAGGUCGAGGAUUUUUAUUUUCUCCUUUCUUCUUAAUAUAGCAUUAAACUCCAAGUCCCACAGCGUAUGCUGCGUGCUGCUUCUCCUCCGAGGCUUAACUGCAGAAGGGAGCCUUAUUGGUGGGCAUAAACCAAGCUGCUUCAAGGGGAGGACACAAUUAGCUGCUGAUUGCUGAACUGAAAUAUGGAGCCCAGUGUUACCAUUGAUUUGAACGCGAAGCCAGAAGCAAAGACACAGAAGUGCCCUCGGAGGCUGGCACCUACAACCUCCCUCAGGAAGAAACCAAAACCAAAGGAAGCAGAGGACUGGCUGACUCCCAGCUCUCCCUGUUUAAGCUUCUUUAGCGAUUCCUAAAGCAGUCGCUGACUCGGAAUUGCCUCUGUCUCUGCUGACACGAUCCACUUCUGCGUUAACGCUCUCCUACUUCUAAGCAGCAUGGAGAGAGGUUUGGAGAUGCAGGGGCAGUGCUGUUAAACAACGGUAACCUAGUCUUCAGCUGCCCUAUGACCCAUCAGUCCCAUUCCCCCUGAGGAGCCCUAGUGUGAGCCUAGCACGUUUUGCUUGUCUCCCACGUGGCCACUGAAGAUCUAAUUCUUCACUGCUGUAAAUACAUUCUUACAUACAGCCUGUUGCUGGGCAUGAAUACACAGUUUCUCUGGCUCAUCCUGAAAACCAGUUGGGUGUGAUUGACAUUUUUGGUUUACAGUAAAUCUGACAUUCUCUACGUACACCAUUUCACUUUAGCACAACAGAUUCUUAUUACACAUCUAAUGUGUGCCAGGUCCCUGGUGUCAGAUUCCUCUCUGAUCCCAUCCAGUCUCAAGCAGCACAUUCUAAGAGCCAGAGUUUGGGCUGAUAAAAUAACCCCAACUCUACUCCUAUUGUCUAUAGCCUUCCUGUUCUCCUCUUGUAGCUAACAAGUCUCCAAAACAGCGUCUCCAUCCACAUAUCGACAGCUUCACAAAUACAGCAUUAUGUUUCUUUCAGUCACAAAUGAUGCCUCCCCUCACAUACCAAUUUUUGGUUUCGGUUUUAUACACAUUAGUUUGGGAAGCUAAAAGCAAUAUAAAAUAAUUUUUGGAUCUUUUAUUGGUCACGAUAAAAAUUGAUAAAAAUUGAGCAUUUCUGGUGAAGAUUAUGGAUCCAUAACAGCUAAAACAGGACACCGUGUUCAAACCUGGUAUUUGGUUUCCACUGAAUGAUGUGAAGAUAUGUAAUACUCUCUCUGUGAGCUUUCUUUUCAACUAUUUCAUGUCUUACAGUUAAAAAAGCUACAUAGUAAAG